AUGAACGCUGGCGGCGUGCUUAACACAUGCAAGUCGAACGAGAAAGUCCGUAAGGAUGAGUAAAGUGGCGUCCGGGUGAGUAACACGUGGAAAUCUGCCCUUUGGUGAAGAAUACCCUCGAGAAAUCGAGGCUAAUACUGCAUAAGUCGGAAACGGGAAAGGUGGCCUCUUUGCUACCGCCGAAGGAUGAGUCUGUGGCCUAUUAGCUAGUUGGUAGGGUAAUGGCCUACCAAGGCGAAGAUGGGUAGCCGGCCUGAGAGGGUGUACGGCCACAAUGGAACUGACACACGGUCCAUACUCCUACGGGAGGCAGCAGUGGGGAAUAUUGCACAAUGGGCGCAAGCCUGAUGCAGCGACGCCGCGUGAGGGAAGAAGGUUUUCGGAUUGUAAACCUCUGUUAAGUGGGAAAAAAUUCCGACGGAUAAUACCCGAUCGGAGAUGAUGGUACCACUAGAGAAAGUACCGGCAAACUUCGU
rnacentral:rRNA from 1 species